rnacentral:rRNA from 1 species
GACGAACGCUGGCGGCGUGCUUAACACAUGCAAGUCGAACGGAAAGGCCCUGCUUUUGUGGGGUGCUCGAGUGGCGAACGGGUGAGUAACACGUGAGUAACCUGCCCUUGACUUUGGGAUAACUUCAGGAAACUGGGGCUAAUACCGGAUAGGAGCUCCUGCUGCAUGGUGGGGGUUGGAAAGUUUCGGCGGUUGGGGAUGGACUCGCGGCUUAUCAGCUUGUUGGUGGGGUAGUGGCUUACCAAGGCUUUGACGGGUAGCCGGCCUGAGAGGGUGACCGGCCACAGUGGGACUGAGAUACGGCACAGCCUCCUACGGGAGGCAGCAGUGGGGAAUAUUGCACAAUGGGCUGAAGCCUGAUGCAGCAACGCCGCGUGCGGGAUGACGGCCUUAGGGUUGUAAACCGCUUUCGCCUGUGACGAAGCGUGAGUGACGGUAAUGGGUAAAGAAGCACCGGCUAACUACGUG